UGAGGAAUAUUGGUCAAUGGACGAGAGUCUGAACCAGCCAAGUAGCGUGCAGGAUGACGGCCCUAUGGGUUGUAAACUGCUUUUGUUUGGGAAUAAUCGACAUUACGUGUAAUGUUUUGCAUGUACCAUUCGAAUAAGGACCGGCUAAUUCCGUGCCAGCAGCCGCGGUAAUACGGAAGGUCCAGGCGUUAUCCGGAUUUAUUGGGUUUAAAGGGAGUGUAGGCGGUUGGUUAAGCGUGUUGUGAAAUGUAGAUGCUCAACAUCUGACUUGCAGCGCGAACUGGCUGACUUGAGUACACACAACGUAGGCGGAAUUCAUGGUGUAGCGGUGAAAUGCUUAGAUAUCAUGAAGAACUCCGAUUGCGAAGGCAGCUUACGGGAGUGUUACUGACGCGUAAGCUCGAAGGUGCGGGUAUCGAACAGG
rnacentral:rRNA from 1 species